CUCAGCACAAUAAGUGUGUCAAGCGUGCGUUUCAUUCUGCACAAACACAUGUCUUUUUUCAGGGACAUUGUUCAUGAGAAGAUCACGUUCCCAAGUCACGAGGUAUACAAAAGGGGUCCUUUUCAUCAAGCAAGAAUGCCGCCCCCUAGAUUCGGGAAACUGUCCGAAGACAACUACGAGGUAGUCUUCACUGAACUGUUCGAUGAAUUUGGAAAU